GAUGAACGCUAGCGGCAGGCCUAACACAUGCAAGUCGAGGGGUAUUAGGAGCUUGCUCCUAAGAGACCGGCGCACGGGUGCGUAACGCGUAUGCAAUCUACCUUGUACAGGGGAAUAGCCCAGAGAAAUUUGGAUUAAUGCCCCAUAGUAUAAUUGAAUCGCAUGGUUUAAUUAUUAAAGUUCCAACGGUACAAGAUGAGCAUGCGUCCCAUUAGUUAGUUGGUAAGGUAACGGCUUACCAAGACAAUGAUGGGUAGGGUCCUGAGAGGGAGAUCCCCCACACUGGUACUGAGACACGGACCAGACUCCUACGGGAGGCAGCAGUGAGGAAUAUUGGUCAAUGGGCGCAAGCCUGAACCAGCCAUGCCGCGUGCAGGAAGACGGUCCUAUGGAUUGUAAACUGCUUUUGUACGGAACGAAAAGGUCUGGGGUUAAUACCCUGGGCUCAUGACGGUACCGUAAGAAUAAGCACCGGCUAACUACGUGCCAG
rnacentral:rRNA from 1 species